rnacentral:sRNA from 1 species
AGCCGGCGCGAGGGCGCGGGCCGGGGGCGCCUGGCGGACAGUCUCGCUCCUCUCGGCUCCCGGGGGCCCCGGGCCCAGUCCGCAGGGCGCCCCGAGUCGUGUAAAUCGUUGGCGAGGGCCCGGGCGCAGCGGCGGUCAUACAGGGAACUCUAAUGAAUCAUUGAUUGACCAGCACUAUUUUACCAGUUGGAAUGAAUGAUCAGAAAUGGGCAUAGUGCUUUUAGAUCCAACAUGUAACGGAUGGAUGUUACUCCAUGCUGAUUACUUCUUCAAGCCAGUACUUUUUUGAUUGUGUAGGAUCUUUGUCUCUUCAUCUUUGAAUUCAAUUACUGGAAAAUAAAAGGAGUUCAUGUAGUUUUUGUCCAGGCUUGAGUCACCAUGAGUAGUAGUUUAGGAAAAGAAAAAGACUCUAAAGAAAAAGAUCCCAAAGUACCAUCAGCCAAGGAAAGAGAAAAGGAGGCAAAAGCCUCUGGAGGUUUUGGGAAAGAGAGCAAAGAAAAAGAACCUAAGACCAAAGGGAAAGAUGCCAAAGAUGGAAAGAAGGACUCCAGUGCUGCCCAACCAGGGGUGGCAUUUUCAGUUGACAAUACGAUUAAACGGCCAAACCCAGCACCUGGGACUAGAAAAAAAUCCAGCAAUGCAGAGGUGAUUAAAGAGCUCAACAAAUGCCGGGAAGAGAAUUCCAUGCGUUUGGACUUAUCCAAGAGAUCUAUACACAUAUUGCCAUCAUCAAUCAAAGAGUUGACUCA